AAUUCGCCCUUAGAGUUUGAUCCUGGCUCAGAUUGAACGCUGGCGGCAUGCCUUACACAUGCAAGUCGAACGGUAACGCGGGGCAACCUGGCGACGAGUGGCGAACGGGUGAGUAAUAUAUCGGAACGUGCCCAGUCGUGGGGGAUAACUGCUCGAAAGAGCAGCUAAUACCGCAUACGACCUGAGGGUGAAAGCGGGGGAUCUUCGGACCUCGCGCGAUUGGAGCGGCCGAUAUCAGAUUAGGUAGUUGGUGGGGUAAAGGCCUACCAAGCCGACGAUCUGUAGCUGGUCUGAGAGGACGACCAGCCACACUGGGACUGAGACACGGCCCAGACUCCUACGGGAGGCAGCAGUGGGGAAUUUUGGACAAUGGGGGCAACCCUGAUCCAGCCAUGCCGCGUGCGGGAAGAAGGCCUUCGGGUUGUAAACCGCUUUUGUCAGGGAAGAAAUCCUUUGGGCUAAUAACUCGGAGGGAUGACGGUACCG
rnacentral:rRNA from 1 species